rnacentral:snoRNA from 1 species
CCCCUCUCAGGGUUGCACCUGAAGAGUUUCCAAUACUCUACCAGUCUUGGCUAUGGGAGGCAGAGUCAAGCAGAGGCCUACCCAUUCCAUUCCUAGCUUGGGCAGUGGCUAGCGAGUGGAAGGCAAUCUGCUACAAGU